GAUGAACGCUGGCGGCGUGCCUAAUACAUGCAAGUCGAGCGAACAGAUAAGGAGCUUGCUCCUUUGACGUUAGCGGCGGACGGGUGAGUUACACGUGGAUAACCUACCUAUAAGACUGGGAUAACUUCGGGAAACCGGAGCUAAUACCGGAUAACAUAUUGAACCGCAUGGUUCAAUAGUGAAAGGCGGCUUUGCUGUCACUUAUAGAUGGAUCCGCGCCGUAUUAGCUAGUUGGUAAGGUAACGGCUUACCAAGGCAACGAUACGUAGCCGACCUGAGAGGGUGAUCGGCCACACUGGAACUGAGACACGGUCCAGACUCCUACGGGAGGCAGCAGUGGGGAAUCUUCCGCAAUGGGCGAAAGCCUGACGGAGCAACGCCGCGUGAGUGAUGAAGGUCUUCGGAUCGUAAAACUCUGUUAUCAGGGAAGAACAAAUGUGUAAGUAACUGUGCACAUCUUGACGGUACCUGAUCAGAAAGCCACGGCUAACUACGUG
rnacentral:rRNA from 1 species